UGGGGAAUUUUGGACAAUGGGGGCAACCCUGAUCCAGCAAUGCCGCGUGUGUGAAGAAGGCCUUCGGGUUGUAAAGCACUUUUGUCCGGAAAGAAAACGCCGUGGUUAAUACCCGUGGCGGAUGACGGUACCGGAAGAAUAAGCACCGGCUAACUACGUGCCAGCAGCCGCGGUAAUACGUAGGGUGCAAGCGUUAAUCGGAAUUACUGGGCGUAAAGCGUGCGCAGGCGGUCCGCUAAGACAGAUGUGAAAUCCCCGGGCCUAACCUGGGAACUGCAUUUGUGACUGGCGGGCUAGAGUAUGGCAGAGGGGGGUAGAAUUCCACGUGUAGCAGUGAAAUGCGUAGAGAUGUGGAGGAAUACCGAUGGCGAAGGCAGCCCCCUGGGCCAAUACUGACGCUCAUG
rnacentral:rRNA from 1 species